CCUACGGGUGGCAGCAGUGAGGAAUAUUGGUCAAUGGGCGUAAGCCUGAACCAGCCAAGUCGCGUGAGGGAUGAAGGUUCUAUGGAUUGUAAACCUCUUUUAUAAGGGAAUAAAGUGCGUGACGUGUCCCGCUUUGUAUGUACCUUAUGAAUAAGGAUCGGCUAACUCCGUGCCAGCAGCCGCGGUAAUACGGAGGAUCCGAGCGUUAUCCGGAUUUAUUGGGUUUAAAGGGUGCGUAGGCGGCCUUUUAAGUCAGCGGUGAAAGUCUGUGGCUCAACCAUAGAAUUGCCGUUGAAACUGGGGGGCUUGAGUAUAUUUGAGGCAGGCGGAAUGUAUGGUGUAGCGGUGAAAUGCAUAGAUAUCACACAGAACCCCGAUUGCGAAGGCAGCCUACCAAGCCAUGACUGACGCUGAUGCACGAAAGCGUGGGGAUCAAACAGGAUUAGAUACCCCAGUAGUC
rnacentral:rRNA from 1 species